ACUUACUGAUGUAGUUGGUUAACAUUUUGGCUUAAGCUCCUUAUCUUGUCAUGGACAGGUAGCAAAUACUCUGGACUGACAGAGGUCGACAAACUAUGCUUUGAGUGGCACUGUUCUGCAGCACAGUGGUUUUACCCAUAAGAUCAUUCAAUUAUAGAAUUUUAGAACUGAAAGAUGUCUUAGACACCAUCUAGUCCAAGUUCCUGGUUUCACAGCCGAGGAUCCUUAGAACCUGAAAGUUUUAGCAAACUUACCAAAGCCACUUAGUGGUUGUGAUGCAAUAUGAAGUAGAGGCCAAUUGUCCUGACUCUUUCCGAUCACCACCGUGCCCUGAAAUUCCUGAAGGAAGCAGAAUUUCCUCUGAGGUUCCUGCUGAGUCAUAUGCAGGCUCCAUCUGAUGUAGAGAUUCAGUAGAAGGGGCCAGGUUGCCUCCUGAUGGGGGCAGCGUGUGGAGGAUGAGCCUGGGCUUACAUGGCAGACAGAUCUGGUCAUGUUCCAGCUCUAUCUCCUACUUGCAGAAUGUCUCCGGGAAAAUUACUUACAUUCUCAAAGCCUCAGAUUCUUGCUUUGUCAACAUUCCUUGAAGAUUGCUGUGAGGAUGAGAUAUGCUAAACUGAAGACUCUGGUGUUCCCUUUUGUGGCAGGGAGAAUAACAGCCCCGCAAAGAUAUCUACAUCCUAAUCCUUGGAACCUGUGACUAUGUUACGUCACAUGGCAAUGGGAGACUUGAGGUUCCAGACUGAAUUAAGGUUGAUAAUUAGCUGACUUUGAGAUGGGGAGACUAUCUGGGAUCAUCCGGGUGGGUCCAAUGUCAUCACAAUGUUCCUUAUAAGAGAGAGGCAGGAGAGAAACAAUCAGACGGCAGCAUGAGGAAGGCUCAGCCUGACAUUGCUGGCUUAGAAGAUGGAGGAGUGAGGCCAUGAGCCAAGGAAUGCAGGAAGCCUCUAGAAGCUGGAACACAUCCCUACUGACACCUGGACUUGCACCUAGUGAAACCCAUUUCAGACUUCAGACCCCCAGAACUGUGCAGUAAUAAAGCUGUGUUGUUUUAAGCCAC
rnacentral:lncRNA from 1 species